GUUCAAUCCCUGGCUCUGCUCAGUGGGUUAAGGAUCUGGCGAUACCAUGAGCUAUGGUGUAGGUCGCAGAUGUGGCUUGUCUCCUGCGUUGCUGUGGCUGUGGUGUAGGCUGGCAGCCGUAGCUCUGAUUUGACCCCUAGCCUGGGAAUCUCCAUUUGCCAUGGAUGUGGCCCUAAAAAGCAAAAAAAAAAAGUUAACCCUUAUGAUUCUGCCCUGUUACCUCAGCAUUGGCCAAUCAGAGAAUUGUGCAUGAGCUGAUCACUUACCUUGAAACCCAGCUCCUUCACCUGGCUUAUAAAAAUGAUUUACCAUUGGGAACUACAUCUAGUCACUUAUGAUGGAGCAGGAUAAUGUGAAAAAAAAAAAAGAAUGUGUAUAUAUGUGUGUGACUGGGUCACCUUGUACAGUAGAAAAUUGACAGAACACUGUAAGCCAGCUAUAGUGGAAAAAAAUAAAAAUUAUUGAAAAACUUUAAAAAACAAAAAUGAUUCACAAUGUUGUUUGGAGGUUUUUUUUUUUCCUCACAAGCCAUUGUCAUCUUGCAUGGCCUGUAAUGAACCUUUCUCUGCUCCAAACUCCAAUGUUUCGGUUUAUUUAGACUUGCUGUGCGUUGGGCACACAGACUUGCAUUAAUAUUAUUAUAUCUAAGGAGCAAAUGUGAUGAUGGCAGACAUGAAAAUAAUUCCUGGGCGGAAGAGUUCCCAGUGUGGCUCAGUGGAACUGAACCUGAGUAGUAUCCAUAAGGAUGAGGGUUUGAUCCCUGGCCUGAUUCAGUGGGUUAAAGAUUGCCUGGGAACUUCCACACGCCACUGGUGCAGCCCUGAAAAAGCAGAAAACAACAGCAAAAGAAAUAAACAAACAAAAAAUGCUGAAAACUUCCUGGGUUACAGAGCCCUGAGUUAUCCUAUUUGCUAAUUCAUCUCCAUGGGGUGGGCUGGGUGCAUCCCCAGACUCUCAGUCCAGCAGUCGCUUUUGUAUUAUGUGGCCUGUGCUUCCUUGCAGCUCUAGGGAGGGGCUUUGGGCAAAGAGCAUCAUGGACCUAUAUCCCGUCUCCAAUCACUGGUGCUCCAUGUACUUCCUGCAGUUCUGGACUUUCCUGGUCCCCAUGGCAACUGUUAGGAAUCCAGCAUCAUGGCUGGCUUUGGGGUGUGAAACUCUCCCUCUUGCCUUGGCUCCCUCUUGGGUCCAGAUGGUUAUUUCUGCUUGCUCUGAACCAAGAGGUUUGGGAAAAGAAGAGCCCAAGGCAAAAGAAGAAUCCGAGGUAGUGGUUCUGAGCUAUGACUUGUGGAGUCAAGGUGGAGCCUGGUUGAUCCAGGAUGGGUUCAAAUCUCGGCUCUGUUGCUUGCUGGUCAUGCGACCCUGCAUCAUAUGGGUCCUUUGAGAAACAGUGUGCAAGAACUCAAUUAGGGGAAGGGCUAGUGUGAAAGAAGUCGGACAGUGAUGUGAGUCUGACCCUGAGUGAAGGAAAGAGAGAGAGGUUGCCUGGAAAUAUCCUCAUUGUGCAGCCUGAGAAACGGUGGGGCGUCCGCAUAGGCUGUCAGAGGAGCCCUAUGUUUUUUAGGAAUGAGCCUGCCUUAGUUCCCCCCACUGCACUUGUGAUCUAUGGGAUGCAAUGGGUUUCAAAUCCAGCAGGUGUAUUCUCAUAGUCACCACACCACCUGACAUCUCACAGAGCUGAUGCUGAAACCAAAACACCUCUGACUCUGAACCCAGCCUAAACCCAGAUGGGGGCUUGAACCCAAUCACUCAUUUGGUAUCUGGACUUACUGAGGCUCAGGUUCUUUGUGUCUCAGCACAGAAGGAAUUCAGUGAGAGGCAAAGCAAUGGGCAAGAAAUAGAUUUACUUAGAUAAGAUGCUUCUGAGACACACAAGCAGGCAGUGAGGAGGAUCUGCCUGAGGAUUAGGUGGGCUACAUUUUUAUAAUCCAAGGAAAGUGAGAGAGGGGGAAAAGGUCACUUCUUCCUCCUUCUUUGAGUAGAGGUCGGGCUUACAUCACUAGCUCCUCCUUUAUAUCAGGUAAAAGAGUAUUUGAACCUAUGAGGUCAAGCUGGACUGUCAUGGUGCUUAUUCAAAUCAGCAGAAGGGCAGUAACAGGUGCCAAACUAUGUUGAAUCAUCUCAGGUUUCUGUAUAAUGAGGGUCUCCUACCUUGGAAGGUCAUCCUUCCCUAAAAUUCCUGUACUUGGUCCUAAGGAUCCCUAUCUUGCUGAACUGAGUACAAGCCUCAUUUUAUCUUUCCCUUAACGACCUGAGGCAUAUCUUGUGCUUUUACUGAUAGUUUUAUAGUUAAGCAAGGCUGCUUUGUCCCAAGAUGUUCUGAUGGCUUUCUUUUUCUUUUUUUUUUUUUUUGUCUUUUUGCCAUUUCUUGGGCCGCUCCUGUGGUAUAUGAAGUUUCCCAGGCUAGGGGUCGAAUGAGAGCUGUAGCCACCAGCCUACGCCAGAGCCACAGCAACGCGGGAUCCAAACCGCGUCUGCAACGUACACCACAGCUCACGGCAACGCCGGAUCAUUAACCCACUAAGCAAGGGCAGGGAUCGAACCCGCAACCUCAUGGUUCCUAGUCAGAUUCGUUAACCACUGCGCCACGAUGGGAACUCCCCUGAUGGCUUUCUUGGGUGACUUUGAACUUACACUGGUCUCCCAAAGUUCUCCAGGUUUCCCUCUCUAUCUAUGGACCCUUCUUGGGACAGCUACAACUCCCUGUGUGACUGUCCUCCUCCAUCAAGGCGAUGAUCUGGUGAGACAAGGCAUGUAAAAUACUUCUGGCAGAGAGUAAGCCCUCAGCACAUUUUACUGUUAGUGUUAUCCAAAUGCUGUUAACCAAUACCCACAUAUUAUUAACCCGAUACACCCAUAUUUAUUAACAAAUAUUGUUUUUUCUUCUUUUUUUAAUACUCAAUAUACAUUUAUAGUUGUACAAUGAUCAUCACAAUCCAAUUUUAUAGGAUUUCCAUCCCACAACUCCAGCGCAUCCCCCCACCCCCUGAACUGUCUCCUUUGGAAACCAUAAGUUUUUCAGUCUGUGAGUCAGUAUCUGUUCUGCAAAGAAGUUCAGUCUGUCCUUUUUUCAGAUUCUACAUGUCAGUGAAAGCAUUGGAUGUUGGUGUCUCAUUGUCUGACUGACUUCCCUUAGCAUGAUAAUUUCUAGGUCCAUCCGUAUUGCUAAAAAUGCCAUUAUUUCUUUCCUUUAAUGGCUGAGUAAUAUUCCAUUGUGUAUAUGUACCACAUCUUCUUGAUCCACUCCUCUCUCGAUGGACAUUUAGGUUGUUUCCAUGUCUUGGCUAUUGAAGAGUGCUGCAAUGAACAUCGGAGUACAUGUGUCUUUGUGAGUCGUGGUUUUCUCAGGAUAGAAGCCCAGGAGUGGGAUUGCUGGAUCACAUGGUAGUUCUAGUUUUAGUUUUCUGAGGAAUCUCCAUACUGUUUUCCACAGUGGUUGCACCAGUCCCACCAACAGUGUACUAGGGUUCCUUUUUCUCCACACCCUCUCCAGCACUUACUGUUUGUUAGCAAAUAUUGUUAACAAAAAGAGUUUCCUUCUCCUUAUGUUACCAAGCAUUUGUUACAUCAAAGGCUGCUAUUAUCAUCAGAUUCCCUGUAAAUGAGUGUACAGGGUGUAAGAUAUUAGGGAGUAGAGGGGACUGUGGUAGACUAGACAGCCCCAUUUAAAACAGUUUGAAAGAUAGCCUGAUCCAGCCAAAGCAAACACACCUGUGACUUGAAUCUAGUCAAUGGCCCUCCAGGUUGAGACCUCUGCCUUGUAUGCACAUCAGCUGAUAUUGUGAUGUUGCACAAGCGAGGUCGAUGUCAUUAAGAUAAAACAAAAAUAGUUGGGCUGAUCCCCCCACCCCCACCCCCAUGACUAAUUUAUGAUGUAUUCGACCAAACUGAAAAGUCUGAAUUUUUUUUUUUUUUAAAGACCACACACAUGGCAUAUGAAGGUUCCCAGGCUAGGGGUCCAAUCGGAGCUAUAGUUGCUGGCCUACACCACAGCCACAGCAACGUGGGAUCCGAGCCGCGUCUGUGACCUACACCACAGCUCAUGGCAACGCCGGAUCCUUAGCCUACUGAACGAGGCCAGGGAUCGAACCCUCAUCCUCAUGGAUACUAGUUGGAUUUGUUUCCACUGCGUCAUGACAGGAACUCCCCUGAAUUGUUGACUUGGGGUUUUGUACCAGGCUUGUCUGAGAGGUUUCGAAUGUGGAUGUGGGGACCUGACCAGCGGGGGUUGGGAACCUGACCUUCCCCCUUUUCAGCUAGGGGAUCCUGGGCAAAUUAUGUGCUCUCUCUGUAUUUAACUCACUCUCCUCUUCUGCAAAAUGGGAAUGGUAAUGAUAUGUCCCUCAUAUCAUUUAGUGCAUGGAAAGAGCUUAGAACAGUGCCAGGAACACAGUAAGGCUGAAAAAGUAUUGACGUGAUUCUGGGGCUGGGGGAGGGAGAGAGAACAUGUCUUUUCUUCAUCCCUCUAUUUCAUGCAAGCCUAAAACUUAAUGAUUGGUAUAACACCCAAGGAGGAAUAAGUUUCUCUUACCCCGGUGAUAUAAUCACAUAUAAUAAUGCCACUUACAUAAGCAUCCUUACCUCCUUGUUAAAUCCGCCUACGCUGCUCCACUUCAUGCCCGUUAAAGAAUAUUCUCUCCCAGAGGGAAAAAGAUACCCAACUUUAUACUAAUUAUCACUUUAAAGCAGAGACCAGUG
rnacentral:lncRNA from 1 species